AACCAAUGGCCUCCUGAACGUGCGUUGCACUCUUGGGAUUUCCUGAGAGUAUGUCUGUCUGCUUCAGUGCUUAA
rnacentral:rRNA from 1 species